rnacentral:rRNA from 1 species
UACGUAGGGUGCAAGCGUUGUCCGGAAUUAUUGGGCGUAAAGAGCUCGUAGGCGGUCUGUCGCGUCGGAUGUGAAAACCCGGGGCUUAACCCCGGGCCUGCAUUCGAUACGGGCAGACGUCGAGUGUGGUAGGGGAGGACUGGAACUCCUGGUGUAGCGGUGAAAUGCGCAGAUAUCAGGAGGAACACCGGUGGCGAAGGCGGGUCUCUGGGCCGUAACUGACGCUGAGGAGCGAAAGCGUGGGGAGCGAACAGG